UGGGGGAUAUUGCACAAUGGGCGAAAGCCUGAUGCAGCGACGCCGCGUGGGGGAUGAAGGCCUUCGGGUUGUAAACUUCUUUUGCUCUGAACAAGGCGCACCAUGGGGUGUGUUGAGUGUAGGGGUUGAUUAGCGCCGGCUAACUACGUGCCAGCAGCCGCGGUAAUACGUAGGGCGCGAGCGUUUUCCGGAAUUAUUGGGCGUAAAGGGCUUGUAGGUGGCUGGUUGCGUCUGUCGUGAAAGCUCAUGGCUUAACUGUGGGUUUGCGGUGGGUACGGGCUGGCUUGAGUGCAGUAGGGGAGGCUGGAAUUCCUGGUGUAGCGGUGGAAUGCGCAGAUAUCAGGAGGAAUACCGGUGGCGAAGGCGGGUCUCUGGGCUGUUACUGACACUGAGGAGCGAAAGCAUGGGGAGCGAACAGG
rnacentral:rRNA from 1 species